GGAAAUCUCACCAGGCCUGGACACUGGAAGGAUUGACAGAUUGAUAGAUCUUUCUUGAUUCGGUGGGUGGUUGUGCAUGGCCGUUCUUAGUUGGUGGAGUGAUUUGUCCGGCUUAAUUUGACUCAACGCGGGAAAUCUCACCAGGCCCGGACACUGGAAGGAUUGACAGAUUGAUAGCUCUUUCUUGUUAGCAAUAA
rnacentral:rRNA from 1 species